GCAGACACAUUCCAGCCAAUCAGCAGCAGACCCUCCCUCCCAGACCCUCCCACCUCCUGGACAGCAUCCAUUUUGAAGCUGCAUUCUUAGUGAGCUGUCCAGGAGGUGGGAGGGUCUGGGAGGGAGGGUCUGCUGCUGAUUGGCAGGAAUGUGUCUG